rnacentral:miRNA from 1 species
AGAAACAAAUUUCAUUGAGGUAAAUACGGUUGGAAUUUUGUCUUUUAACUAUAAAUCCAACCGAAUUUGGCUCGGCGAAAUUUUUCAGUUU